UCUCAAUUCAGCUUUUGUACGGUACGGUCAUGUUCCAUCGAGUCGCGUGUGCAUAAUUUUGUGUGUUUUUUUUUUCUUCUCCCUACUGUUUGUGUGUGAAUCAAGAAAAUUUCCAAUUUGGAUAAAUUAAAGUGAAGAUGAUAUGAUAAUAAUACUAUAUAAAUUAACAGAAACAACAAUAAAAGUUUAAUUGAAUAAAAAGACGUGUAUCUGUCUAGCAAUCUGUACUCCAUUUAUAUAACUGCAAAUUUUGCUGAAAUUGAAAAAAAUCUACAAAAAUUGAGAAAAAAUGUGUGUUGUGUUUAACAAAUAAAUACAAAAAGUAAGAAAAAGCCAAAGAGAAAACAAAUUUCUAAGAACGUUUUCACAGUCUAUGAUUUAAUAUUAAACGAAAGAUCUAGAAAUCUUCUAUAUUCCUUUUUAAAAUACAAGGUGAAUGUCCAAAAACUUGCUACCAAAUAUAGAGGCUGGUGCAUUGACAGCUAUUAAAUCUUUCUUCAGAUUCUUGUGCUAUUUGUGUGCAAUUUCACGUUGUUCAAGUACUAGAACUAUCAAUGGCCAAAAACUUGCUGUUAAAACGUUUCGGGAUAUCGGAGUAAUAAUAUCAUUUUAAUCGAUUUUUUUUAAAUUGUUAUUAGUCAUUUGAUGUGUUACCAUAUUGUAUGUAAAUCUGUUAUAUUUAUCAUAAUAAUCGAUUUUCUAAAUAGUUAAGAUAUUUCUUAUAUCACUAUAAUUAAAUAAAUACAUAUGUGCAUAAAUCCAAAGAAAAAGCAGUUAGUUUAACUUUACUGGGAGU